CUCCAGCUAAUCCUGGCUGCCUGAAGUUUAUUUUUAGUUCAGAAUUAGCUGAGGUUCAAUGUGAGCAGCGUGAGGGAGCCUAGACCAGUUCACAGUGCCUCUUCCAGGGAACGACUUCAGAUGAUAUGGGAAAGAAACAAGUGUGCCCGCCUCGUGCCCUCCCUCCAGUGCCAAGUGGAAGCCAAGGUGAGUUAUUAAGGAGAACUACAAACAUUGGUAGUUCCUUUUGGUGCCACUCAUUCUCUCUUUAAAGAUAGAGCCUUAUACUUUUCCUGAAUGCAGGCUGAUUAUUUAAACUGGAUACCUGUGCAUUGUUAGAACUGUUGGGUUUUUUUUGCUCUCUUUACUGUUAGCUAUUUCCAUCAAGGUAACUGAAGUGUUG
rnacentral:lncRNA from 1 species